GUGUCAGCAGCCGCGGUAAUACGUAGGGGGCAAGCGUUGUUCGGAUUUACUGGGCGUAAAGGGCGCGUAGGCGGCGUGACAAGUCACUUGUGAAAUCUCCGGGCUUAACCCGGAAAGGUCAAGUGAUACUGUUGUGCUAGAGUGCAGAAAGGGCAACUGGAAUUCUUGGUGUAGCGGUGAAAUGCGUAGAUAUCAAGAGGAACACCUGAGGCGAAGGCGAGUUGCUAGGCUGACACUGACGCUGAGGCGCGAAAGCUAGGGGAGCGAACGGGAUUAGAUACCCCGGUAGUCCUAGCCCUAAACGAUGAAUACUUGGUGUCUGGAGUUCUUAUACUCUGGGUGCCGUAGCUAACGUUUUAAGUAUUCCGCCUGGGGAGUACGCUCGCAAGAGUGAAACUUAAAGGAAUUGACGG
rnacentral:rRNA from 1 species